AAAUUCCAACUUCAAACAAUGUCAAAAUUACAAUCACUGUAAUACAUAGUUUUAAUUCCAUUACACAAUUCACAAUAGUUUAACCCAAAUUACAACCAUUUGAACCAAUAUCCAUGUACAUUUUCAAAGCAUUAUCCAUUAAACCCAUAACCCAUAUCCAAUAAGACAAGAAAAUGAAAAGUAAUUAAAAGGCUACUUGCAAGUACACAACAAGCUUCCAAAACGCAGGUAGCAGCCAGCAUCCAAAACGGCAUGUGAAAUCCAAAAGCUACAACACGCUAACAACAUCAAAACCAAACUGCAACCAAAGCAGCUACGGCGUGAACAGUGUAACGACAACAUUAGCUGCAACAAUCCAACCAUAACGCAGCUCAUAACAACGCAAAUGCAUCCAACCAAAGUCGAAAGCGCGACCAUACAGUCCAAAGAAAAAGCUGCUGCCACAACCGAAACAAACGGCAACGCAAGCAGUCCCUACCUGCACCAAUAAUCUCACAAAUUAGCAUCCCAAUUUCAAUAACAAACCAACCUGCACAUAAAUCUAUAACAGAAGCAAAAGAAAAUACCAAGAAACUCCAACAAAAUUGGAAACGAUAACGGAAACUGAACUGGACUUCAAAAAAACAAUUCCCACUCAAAACCAUAACCAACUCCAGGCAACUUAACCUGCAGAGUUUCAUUCAGAACUCGGUUCUGCAGAAAACUCCAAACAUAACUCGAUCUGAAAACCACGCUGCUACAAACUGAGUUCUAAAACCCACCACCACACAUAACCAAUUUUCAAACAAACUGUAACAACCCAAACAGAAUUCUCCAACCUUCAUAACAGAAUGAAAACCGAAAUAACCAACUUUUACAACCAACCUGCUCCUGCAUAACCUCCCUAAAAGCACCAACCUGCUACAUCUCCAAUCUCCCUUAUAAACAACCAUCCUCCAUCACACUUUUAACUUCCUCACUAACUUCACUCCAUCUUCAAUUCACAACUUCAUCCUCCAUAACCUCUUCUUCAACCUCACCCAUCAUCCUCCUCCAAUUCUUCUUCAACCAAGUUACCCCUAACCUGCAACCUCCACGACCCACCCUGUAACUCCAAUUCAAAACAGAAUUUCCUAACUUCACAAACCUUUGAAUGCAACAACCAAAAUAAAAGAUCCCAACUUCGCAACAAUAUUCAAACACAACGCAAACAGAAUAACAGUAGAAGAAGAGACAGAAAUUCCAGAAGCAAAACUGAAAAAAGAAACCUCAACAAGAGCCAUUCCAAACCUGCAUAAUUCUAAGCCAAAAUCCUGAACCUUCAUAACAACCAGAACCGCUUCUUCACAACUUCUUCCACCUAUAACAACCACCAAUCCCUAACAAAAUCCACAUUGAACUGAAUCCUUCAAACCUUCCGAAUACCCCUCCAACAACUGAACAAGAGAGCUACAUAUCGAAUUUCCAACAGAGAAAUUUUGGAACGGCUUCGUAGACGAAUCGCAACAACUUUGCAGCGGGAAGAAGGGAAGAACGAGAAUCAAGUCACCUGGAAUCCUCAAUAAACCAGGUAGGCUCCUCCUUCUCUAUUCUUUUCGAUUAUGCGUGCAAUUGAAUUCAUGUUGACAUUGAAAUACCACAGAUCCCUCAUUGGUUUUCGUUUGUCGCGGAACCUGAAAACGAGACGGUAUGUUGAGAGCCUCAAAUCCUCGCGGACAAUGUGUUGAUGACGAGGGUACGGGGGAUGCGCGAUCCACUUCGUCUUACUUCAGCUGUGAUUCCCACAUAUGCUUAUGAAGGAGAAGAGCGAUCUAAAACGCAUAAUCCAUACGAAUGGGCAUGAUCAGUAAUAGAAUCGUGACCUCAUGUGACGAUUGUAACCUUUGAUGCAGAUCUACGGAGCGAUCACGAACGUCGAAC
rnacentral:lncRNA from 1 species